AUUGAACGCUGGCGGCAGGCCUAACACAUGCAAGUCGAGCGAGCGGCGGACGGGUGAGUAAUGUAUGGGGACUGCCCGAUAGAGGGGGAUAACUACUGGAAACGGUAGCUAAUACCGCAUACUAUCGGAUAACCCAUAUGGGAUUAGCUAGUAGGUGAGGUAAUGGCUCACCUAGGCGACGAUCCCUAGCCGGUCUGAGAGGAUGAUCAGUCACACGGGGACUGAGACACGGCCCAGACUCCUACGGAGGCAGCAGUAGGGAAUAUUGGACAAUGGGGGCAAGCCUGAUGGAGCCAAGCCGCGUGAGUGAAGAAGGCCCUAGGGUUGUAAAAUACUUUCAGUAGAGAAGCGUUAGCGACAGAAGAAGCACCGGCUAACUCCGUGCCAGCAGCCGCGGUAAUUC
rnacentral:rRNA from 1 species